AAUUCCUGCUAUGUUGAGCUACGAUCUCCGUUUAGGACAUCAUUCACAAUUAAUUCAGGGCAACCUGAGCCUAAGCGACUUGAAAGUAAAAUGAUCCAGUUGUUGGCCUUACGGAGCCUGCACAAUAAAGGGAAUGCAAAGUUACAGACCUCGUUGACAUGAUUAUCUACUGAAAAAAUGGCAUUGUUAACCAUGUUGGUGGGUUAGACCCCAUUAUGGUUCGUGUCUCCUUAAAUUGAAUAUUUCAGUGUUGGGACAGUAUUGAAGUUUUUGUGUUUGGGAUGUAACUGUAAAGUGCUUGGUACAUAACAUGGGACAGUAUGUCGGAAGAGUGAAGAAUCUUGUCCCCUUCAGUUGUUAAGUAGUUAUGUAGUGUUUUGUAUUGAAGGCUUAUACUUAAUUUUAUCGUGCACAUGGUGUACGUGUUAUUAUUGUAAGGAUAUGAACGUAUUUGGUCCUCACGACAAGAGUAGCCCCUAUUCCAUACUCGUUCCAUGAAUCA